rnacentral:rRNA from 1 species
UACGUAGGGGGCAAGCGUUGUCCGGAUUCACUGGGUGUAAAGGGCGCGCAGGCGGGUUAGCAAGUCAGAGGUGAAAUCCUACAGCUUAACUGUAGAACUGCCUUUGAAACUGUUAAUCUUGAGUGCGGAAGAGAGAGAUGGAAUUCCAGGUGUAGCGGUGAAAUGCGUAGAUAUCUGGAAGAACACCAGUUGCGAAGGCGGUCUCUUGGUCCGUUACUGACGCUCAGGCGCGAAAGCGUGGGGAGCAAACAGG